rnacentral:rRNA from 1 species
GUCCACGCCGUAAACGAUGGGCACUAGGUCCUUGGGGAGCGACCCCUUGAGGGCCGGCGCUAACGCAUUAAGUGCCCCGCCUGGGGAGUACGGCCGCAAGGCUGAAACUCAAAGGAAUUGACGGGGCCCGCACAAGCGGUGGAGCAUGUGGUUUAAUUCGACGCAACGCGAAGAACCUUACCUGGGCUUGACAUGCACGGGAACUCGUGGGGAAACCUGCGGGGCUCUUCGGAGCUCGUGCACAGGUGCUGCAUGGCUGUCGU